rnacentral:rRNA from 1 species
AUGUUAUAUUAUUUAAUCAUGGAAAUGCCAUGUCAGCUGCAACUAUCAGAUUCAGAAGAAAAUAGUUACCAAAUCCACCUAUCAUCACCGUCUAUAGGCCGGCCAUACUUGUGA